rnacentral:lncRNA from 1 species
AUUAUCUCCCUCUAGGGAUGACUAGUCAUCUUGGAAAGAGAUGAGUCCUGAGCCUAGAGGGAAAAAUGCCCACACUGGUAGGUAGGAGGGGUGCUUCUCACUUCAUCUUGUGCCAGAGCAGAAUGCAUGUGCAGAGAAAAGACUUACCAAGGAAAAUGUAAUCCAAUGUGGUAAGAGAAAGACAGAGCCUCUCAAAAAUCUUCAGCUAUAUCCAAGAAAAUAUGCAGAAAGAGCAUAAUGGAAGAAGUUCCUUCAGGCUUCUGUCUCACCACUUUUUUCCUUCUCAUAAUGAAUUCAGACAUGUUAAGAAAUAAACUGAUUUGAGCCAUAACCCA